AUUUUCUAUUUGUAUCAUCACCAUCUGCAAAUAAUCACAGUAUUAUUUAUUCCGUUUAAAUUAUUUUUAAUUGAAUACUUUCAUGCUAACUUGGAACUCUGGCCCAAAAUUAAAUAAAACAAGCAAUAACACAUAUUUUUGUCUUUUCUCUCUCACAGGAAAAAUUAUUAGCAUUUUAACAGUAAGUAUAUUUGCUAUAGUUUUUAAUAAAUUUAUCAGAUUAAGGAAGUUUCUCUAGGAUUGAAAAUUUUUUAUCGUAAAUAGAUCUUCAAUAUUAUUUGUCCUUUCUGUAUGCACUGAUUUAAGGUUUUGAUGUUUUUAUCUUUAAUCUGUUAAUGUGGAGAAUGAUUUUUUUUUUUUUGAGGACUAAAUAGAAUCUUUAGGGAUGGGGGAAAUCAGUAAGUGUUAUAUCUGUUAUGUGCUGCUGAAUCCAGUUUGCUAAUAUUCUCUUUGGAUUAUUUGUAUCUGUGCUCAUAAAUUUGAGCAUUUUCCUACCCACUACUAUCCUUGAGAGUUUCUUGUAUCAAGCUAUGUAAAUCUUAUUUUUAAAAUUGCAUAUUUCUUUUUUUCUAUUGUUCUCCAAGCUUUUUCUCCCAAGCAUCAAACAAAUACUUAAAGCUUCUAAUAUUCAUCCAGAAAUGGUCCAUUCAUUUAGUCAGCUACCAAUAUUUUGUUUCCAACAAAGAAGUUUAACAGCAGAGAAAAUGUAGUCAAUUUCGGUUUUAAAAGACAGACUUUUAUUUUUUAAUUGCUGCACAUUAAAUUAUUUUAUUUUUGACCUAAAAUUUCAAAUAUACAUAGGAUAUUUUUGCUGGGGUUUCUGUUUAUAAUUUUGUUAGUAAUACAGUCAAUAGUUUUGAUCUCUAUACCUGGGUAUGUUUUGAUUUUUGUAAUUUUUACAAAUAGUAUUAAUUUUGAUCCUUGUAUACACACUAUUUUUUCUUCCUGAUGAAUUACUCUAGCCACUGAUUAAAUUUAUUUUCUAUGUUCUCCUCAUUGAUCAUCCCACUAUUUUCAAAUUUUUAUGUUGUUCUGAUUCUUAACGAGUUUAUUGUGUCAUCCGCAUCAUUAAUUUGAUGUAUUUUGAAAUUUUAAUUCCUCUCAUUAAACCUUCAUUGAAACUUUUAGUUCUGCUUUUAUUUUGUGUUUUAUGUUUAUCUCACCUGUUUCUUUGCACUUUUGAUACUGCUGUUUUUCCCGUUUUUUUCUGUCAUUAUCGAUGUCUGAUUCUCUUUGAUGACAUUUGUAACUUCUUUCAUUCCGCUGAAGAGAAAAACUUCUUGUAAAAAGUUAUUCUAAUUAAAAUACUAAAUCAGUUUUGCAGAGGGCAAUUCUCUGAAAUUUCAGGUUUAUAUCCAUUUCAGUUUCUCUUUACUGUCAUUUCUUUUAAAAAUUUUAUCUGUAAUAAACUUCUCCAAAGCUUAUGGUUUCUAAAAACAGGUAGGGCUGUGGCUUCACUCAAUCAUUUUGUCUUUAAACUUCUGUUCAGAUCUACACUAGAGGUUGGAUUAGAUGUUUACAUGUAAGUUCCAUCCACAAUGUCCUUCACUCACUGUUUGCAAUUUCUUUAUUAUGUAAGAAAUCUUUACUGCCUGCCCUGAUUAGAUUCAUGGGACUCUGCAGUAAUUUUCUAUUUUACAUAUUAUAUUCCUUCUACAUACAUUAAUUUUUUAUUUAAGAGCUUUAUUGGGAUAUAGUUGACAUGAAAUCAACUUUACAUAUAUGUAAAGGGUACAAUUUGAUAAGUUUGGACAUAUGUACACACCCAUAAAAUCACCACCAAAAUCAAGAUAAUGAGCAUCUACAUCACACCAAAAGUUUCACUGUGACCAUUUAUAUUUUCUCCUAACUUUACCCACGUUUCCAGGCAAAUUUUGAUCUGCUUUAAAUUGUCAAUUAGGAUGUCUUUUUCAAAAGUACUUCAUUUAAAUGAAAUCAUAUUACUCUCUUCUUUUACUCACAAUAAUUAUUUAGAGGUCUGUGAUAUUGUGUGUCAAUAGUGAUUUAUUGCCAUUGCUGAAUAGUAUUCACUUAUAAAUAUAACACCAUUGGUUCAUUCAUUCAUUUUUGAUAGAUAUUUGGACUGUUUCUAGAUUGGAGGUAUUUUGAAUGAAGCUGCUGUGAAUAUUCAUGAACAAUGUACAAGUUUUUGUAUGGACAUAUGCUUUCUUUUCCUUUGCUUGAAUGCCUAAGUGUGAAAUGGCUGGAUCACAUGGUACAUACAUGCCUAAUUUUUAAAGAAGCAAUCAAACCACUUUUGAAAUAGUAGUAAUAUUUCACAUAACCAACCAUAGUGUAUAAAACUGCAGAAGUUCCACAACAUUAGCAACACUUGGUGUCAUCAGUCUUGAACUUUGAACAUUCUAGUAAGUGUGUAGUGGUACAUUUGUAAAUUUUGCGUCUAAUAAAUUAUAUACUGUAAUUUAAUUUCUAUUUCCCUAAUGACUAAUGAGAUUAAGCAUCUUUUCAUGUGCUUAUUUGUCAUUUUUAUUUAUAUCUGAUUUAGUGAUGUCUCUGUUAACAUUUUGCCAAUCAUUUUAUCAGGUUAUUAUCAUACCUUUAAAGUAUUUUAUGGAAUCUGAAUACAAAAAUCUUUAUUAAACAUGUGACUUAAAAGUUGCUUCCUUAACUUUGUGGCUUGACUUUUCAUUCUCUUAAUGCUUUUCAAAAGGCAGGAGUUUUUAUUCUUAAAGAGUUUAAUAUAUAUGUACACAUAUAUAAGUACAUGUCUUUACACACACACAUAUAAGUAUGUAAUUUUUAAUUUUAUGGAUCAUGAUUUUUGGUGUCAUAAGUAGAAAUACUUAACUCAAAAAUUUCUUUUCUACAUUUUCUUCAAGUUUCAAAUUUUACAUUUAGGUACAGGAUCUCUUUUAAAAUAAUUUUUCUAUACAGUGUUAAACAUAGAUUGAAAUUGCUAGUUCAAUAUUUUAUUUUCAAACGUGUAUCUAAUUAUUCUAGCACAAUUUGUUGAUAAGAUUAUACUUUCUCCAAUUAAACGAGUUGACCAUAUAUGUGUGGCAAUAUUAUGGGAUGCUCCAUUCUGUUCCAUUGAUUGGUUAGUAUAACUUAAGGCCACUAUCAUUUUAUCUUGAUAACUGUGGCUUUAUAAUAAACCAUGGAAUGAAGUCAUUUUAGUUCUCCAACUUCAUUCUUCUUUUUCAAAGCUAUUUUAGCUAUUCUGGCUCUUUUACAUUUCCAUUUGAAUUUCAGAAUCAGUUUGUCAAUUCCUACAAAAUGUCUGCUGAGAUAUUGAUCAGAAUUGAACUACAUCAAUAGAUCUAUUGGGGGGACUUGACAUCUUAGCAAUAAUUAGACUUCUAACUCAUGAAUGUGGUAAAAGUCUCCAUUUAUUCGUUUUUUUACCUCAAUAUUUUGUAAUAUUCACAUAUGUUGUAAUAUUUAUACUUAAAUAUUUUGUUGUUGAUGUUAUUAAAAACCAUAUUAUUCUUUACAUUCUAUUCCUUUUUUAUUGCUAGUAUAUAAAAAUACAACUUGUCAACUUGUAUAUUAAUUUUUAUCUUGUAAUCUUGUUAAACUCAUUUAUAAGUUCUACAAGUUUUUGUAGAUUUUAUUGUAUUUCCACAUACAUGAUCAUGU
rnacentral:lncRNA from 1 species